UACGUAGGGGGCAAGCGUUGUCCGGAUUUAUUGGGCGUAAAGAGCUCGUAGGUGGUUCGGUAAGUCGGAUGUGGAAUCUCCAGGCUCAACCUGGAGGGGUCAUUCGAUACUGCCGUGACUAGAGUUCGGUAGGGGAGUGUGGAAUUCCUGGUGGAGCGGUGAAAUGCGCAGAUAUCAGGAGGAACACCCGUAGCGAAGGCGGCACUCUGGGCCGAUACUGACACUGAGGAGCGAAAGCGUGGGGAGCGAACAGG
rnacentral:rRNA from 1 species